rnacentral:lncRNA from 1 species
UCCCCCACGAUCUCCUCUUUGAGCUCCUUCUUCAGCGUGACCCUUCAGGUAUCAGCCGGGAUAGCCUACCCACAAGUGACCCAUGCAUUUCGGUAAGUACAACAAUGUCGUAACACAAGGCGAGUCGAAGCAGUUCAUGCUGUUCUAGUUUCCAGUCAGUCACACCACGUAUAUUAAUUGGACUAUAUGAAGCGGUUCAUACCUCCGGUCGGCUUCCUA